ACGUGACCGCAUCUCUUGGACUCUCGAUGUUACCGAAAAGGAGGAAAGGAUUUGGGGCGGGCAGUCCUGGAGCCUCUCGCUGGCCUUACGGAGAGAGAGGGCUGGGGUGGAGGAGAGCCCUGGGGAGCAGGCAGAGUUUGGUGACAAGGAUGGGACACCUUGAGUGAGCCUUUCCACUGGGCAAAUUGGAGGAUGUGUAGCCAUCUUCGGUCAGACAAGAGGCCCUGUUUGCUGAAGUCUUUCUUCAACACUUUGACUCAGACAUUCUCUCUGGGACCCCUGAGCCCAUCUAACCUCCAGUCCGUCCAUCAACUGAUUACUGCUCAGUCACCUCAGUCGAUACCACUGGGAGUGGGAGAACUGCCUAGCUGAGCCCUGCCUGAAUGCCUGACUCAUAACUCAUGGUGCAGACACUGAGACAUCAAAGCAGCCAAGUGCCACCCUGAUGUUGAGCCCGCCGAGUGCUGCGAGGCUGCUGCUGUUGGCUCUGCAUGAUCAGGAGAGCGGAGAUCAAAGGUGCCCAUUAUGUGCUGAAAUACCUGAAGUUGGAAAACACCACAAGAAAGCCAUGCCAAAACAAACAAAGACCCUGCAGCGGUAAUGCUAUUCCUGAGUCAGAGAGAGAGAGCUGGAUCCAUGCAUCACAAAGGCUUUCUGUGCUCAAUGAAAACAUUCAAAUCUCUUAUGAGAUCCAGGAGGUCCCUCCUGCUUACUGAGGUCAGCCUGGAGAGAGGACCCUGCCAGCUGCACACCCAGGGAGGACUGCUCAGGCAGCUCCACAUGCUGCCAGCCUUGCGUGAAAGGUGAGCUUGCGAUUUCCAGUUACAGAAGGUGCCACUUCAUGUUGUGACCCCGGGUGGCCCCAGUCACCCAGUAUCCUCCCUUGAGGCCUGUGCAGGCUCCACUCCCAUCACUGGGCACUUCCUCUUGCCUCCACCUGGCGAGCUCCUCACGUCCCUCAGUCCUUGGCUGGAAUAUCAUUCCCGGGACUGUAGGGCAGUGUUUUACUGUGGCCAUGGCGACUAUAUGAAUACACUGUGGGUGGUCACUUGCCCGGCUCUCCCACCAGACCUGACCUCAUGGUGUGUGGGAACCCAGCCUUGCUCACCACCAUGCCCCAGCCACAGGUAGAGUAGAUGCCCCUAAAUCUUUGUUGGAUGAAUGAAGGAGUGAAUGAAUGAAUGAGUUAACUGAAUCAGCAGCUUCAGGAAAGAGGAGGAGGUGAACGAGAUGACCCCAGGGGACCUGCAGAUGCCCCAACGACACCUCUCCCUGCUCCACGACCUGUUUUGGGACUACUGCAGAUAGCGUAGACAGGAUUUCUGACAGGUGCAGGUCUUCCCUCAGCUCCCAUGCAGCCCCUCGUGGAAGCCUGCCUCUUUUUAAUGGGAGGUGUGGAUGGAAAUGGCCAUUCACUGAGCCUCUGGAAGACAUCAGGGUGGAAACUGCUGUUCUGUACUAGCGGGACUAAGCCGAGUUUCUGAGGUAAAGUCUCCGUUUACCCUAGAGGUAUCGGAGCUGGGAGCUCCGCUCAGAUUUGAUUCAUUUGGGAGCUCAUGUGAUGUUCCCCGGUAGAAGGAGACCUCCUCACUGCUGCACUGUGGGGCCAGCCAUCAGACCGAACGUGGGGCAUGCUAGGGGGCUCACCUUCUGUCCUGCAUCCAAAACUGUCAGCGCCUCCCAGGUUUGCUGCAGACCCUGGGCUUAACUGGAGCAUCUCCUGGGAUCUUUGUGCAUGGAGGACACGGGGAGUGAGGGAGGUAUUUCCUGCAGCCCAGGCGUCUCCUCACAGCACGAGUGCACCACCUCCCCAGCACUGCUUCCCCUGACGGGCACUGUGGGCAAAGGUGUGCAGGCCGCCCCACUGCCUGGCCCGCAGCUGGUCCCUGCUCAGCAAGAUCCAAUGUUCUCUCGUGAACUCUGGCCUCCCUCACACUCUUUUGCUCUCAUUUUCCCGUUGCCUUUUUUCCCCGCCACAUAUUUAGUUUAUGUCUCCUUGCACUGAAUGCAGAAAGCUUUCUGGAACGAAGCAGCAACUAAAUAGAUAACUUGACCCCUGCCGGAAUCAGUUCCCUCCUGUGGGUAAGGGGUCCUCCCACAGGGGUCACGGGGGAGAUGGGGUGAGCGCUGCUGUGGCUUCUGCACAUCUCUGCUGUUCAGGAAAUGGCAGCUCCCACCAUUUAGAGGGAUCAUAGGGAAUGGCACAGGCUGCUGAGGGGGCAUCGGGGGCAAGGCCUCUCACCCCUGCGCCUGGGGAGGCUCUUUCUGCCGCCUAUGCUCCUCCUCCAUGAGUGCCCCAUGGGCUCGCCAAGGAGCAUUUUCUCUAGUCUCAGGAGCUGCUCCUGCCUGUGGAGGGCGGUGCAGACUGAAGGAUGGCCUGAAUUCCUCAGUGGGCAAGAGAAAACACUUCGCACACUGGCUCCGGCGUUCACACGCUCACGCACACGCACAUGCACACGC